GACGAACGCUGGCGGCGUGCUUAACACAUGCAAGUCGAACGAAGAGCGAUGGAAGCUUGCUUCUAUCAAUCUUAGUGGCGAACGGGUGAGUAACGCGUAAUCAACCUGCCCUUCAGAGGGGGACAACAGUUGGAAACGACUGCUAAUACCGCAUACGAUCUAAACUCGGCAUCGAGGAUAGAUGAAAGGUGGCCUCUACAUGUAAGCUAUCACUGAAGGAGGGGAUUGCGUCUGAUUAGCUAGUUGGAGGGGUAACGGCCCACCAAGGCGAUGAUCAGUAGCCGGUCUGAGGGGAUGAACGGCCACAUUGGGACUGAGACACGGCCCAGACUCCUACGGGAGGCAGCAGUGGGGAAUCUUCCGCAAUGGACGAAAGUCUGACGGAGCAACGCCGCGUGAGUGAUGACGGCCUUCGGGUUGUAAAGCUCUGUUAAUCGGGACGAAAGGCCUUCUUGCGAAUAGUGAGAAGGAUUGACGGUACCGGAAUAGAAAGCCACGGCUAACUACGUG
rnacentral:rRNA from 1 species